rnacentral:rRNA from 1 species
UACGGAGGGUGGCAAGCGUUAAUCGGAAUUACUGGGCGUAAAGCGCACGCAGGUGGCUGAGUCAGUCGAUUGUGAAAGCCCUGGGCUUAACCUGGGAAUUGCAGUCGAUACUACUCAGCUAGAGUAUGGGAGAGGGUAGUGGAAUUCCCGGUGUAGCGGUGAAAUGCGUAGAUAUCGGGAGGAACAUCAGUGGCGAAGGCGGCUACCUGGCCCAA